AGUGGGGCCUGGGGGUCCCUGGAGAAAUUCCAGGCGAGUGUGAGUUGGGCUUCACAUGUUAGUCAACACUCCGUUACAGACUUGCUGGAGUAAAACACAUCAAAGGAUCUAGAGCCUAAAGUAAGUCAGAAAUAGCAACAUGCCCUCCCCAACCCCUCAAACUCUCCUGUUCCAGGCACCUGCCCUGAGGAAACCAUUGCCUAAUCCAUAAAUGCUAAUCACCAGUGGUGUGAUAACAUUACGCAGCAGUAACAGCUGAGUUCACCCUCCCAGGGGCAGUUGAGUAGAUAAAGAUCGCUGACAUGUUCUAACUGCUUUCCAGGCCCCAGGAGUC
rnacentral:lncRNA from 1 species